AAACCUGUCGAGUUAUAGGAGAAUAAAUCAAAAUUUAGAUUCAAAAUUAUUCAUUGAAAUUUGAAAGUACAACAUAUUUAUAACUCUACAAUCUGAAUUGGUUCAAGAACAAAAUAGUUUCAAAUUUUUCAUUUAUCCAAGAUCUUCGUGAUUAUAAAUCCACGAUUCCCAUUAUUACCUGAGACACUUUGAAGGAAAAGCAGUGAUAAACCUUGGAGAAAAGGUCCAUUACAAGGAACAUCAAAAAUGAAAAGAGCAACAAGGAAAAGGAUAACCACUGAGAUGGACAUGAAUAUUAUCCUGGCAAUCAAAUGGCCUAAUAUUAUAUGAGUCGUCGUUACUCCAGCCACAAAAUUACGUUCAAACAUUUGACGAGCUCGUUCAACUAUGAUUAAAAGAGAGAUGAA